AGGAAUAUGGCUCAAAUGAUAGAGUGCAUGCUUAGCAUGCACAAGAUCCUGGGUUCAAUCCCCAGUACUACCU
rnacentral:tRNA from 1 species